UAAAUAUUCAUACACAUAACUCAUAUAGUAUACAGCGCUAAGCUAAACCGCCUGACUCAAGUCAUCUUACGUACCCUUGCUAAAGCAGGAACUAGCUCACACAGCCAGCAAUAAAACUACCCCCCUAAAACCAUCCCCUCAGCUUGGUUGUCUCCCGACCCCAGGAAACAAAGACAUUCCAUUGCAUGAACACAUGCACCCAGCCAUAAAAACUGCCCCUCUACCUCACGAACCCCUGACACAAACAUCUCCUAGUAUAAACACAUCUCCCCCCUCUACUGGUCGGGGGCUCAGAGAACAAGACUCUGUUCUGUACCAAUGGGGCUCAUGCUCUGGAUUAGAGCAGGUCCGCCUCCAACUUUUUGGGACCAAUCAGAAGACAAAAAACGACAAGACUCUACCUACUUUAUUCUAUGUAUAAAAAUGAAUGUAACCUUUGUAUAAGGCCUCUUUUUCACCUGACUCCUUGCCGAGUUAUAUGAACUAGAUCCGUGCACGUAUAACUGCGGGACAAGAUAUCUUUGACUCAUUAAAACUGCCUUUUGUUACAACUGAAAUCCACUCUGUCCAGCGUCCGUGAUUUGGUCUCAACUCUCCAAUAUAUAAACACCAAUCAUAACAUGGUAGCAAGAGGAUGGCAUUUCCUAAAUUCGAUCUAUGAUAAAUUGGUGUGAGAGGCGAGACAAAUCAUCCGGUUCGAAUCAGACGGAAGAGUGACCGAACCAGGAGAAAAUCAGCCAUUCAUCUUGCCUCAGGAAAUCUGAUCAGAGCGCUCUACUAAAUGAGCACUCUCUACCCAGGUUCACAAGGUCCAGGAAGGGGAGCUGCCGGGGGACACGCCACCACUGAAGGUAAAGGUUGGUGACUGGGUAGGGUUAAAGUCCACACGAGAAAGUGGCUGGAACCCAGGUGGACUGGACCGUACGAAGUGAAGGAGGUUACUUCACACUCAGUCCAGGUCAAAGGUAAAUUAGGCGCACCUUGGCACCACCUUACACAUUGCACCCUAGCCCCAACUCCUUCCAAAACACUGACCGAAGUCAGAGCUGAUUUGAGCGGCCUAAAUUCGAUUCCAAAUGAAGACACUCCUUCCUCAGGUGAUGCGGCAUCAAACUCCGCCUCCCCUGAAAAAGGAACCUCGCCCAGUUAGAGGGACAUUUCUCCCUCCCUGGGUGAGGCUGGGGAUAUCUGGCCCUUUGUUUGUGAUAUUCCUACUGAUCUUUGGGGUGUCCUUAGGCACUCUCACAUGGUUAAUAGAACAACAAACACAUACUAAAGCAUCAACCCUUCUCACCCCAACCCAUAUCCCUGAUAACAUUCCUAGCACCACUCCCUUCAAUCUCACACGCACCAAACGUAGCACUACACCUACAGACCCACCAUGCACACCAGACAAGGUUAGAGGCACCACCUUAUGUAUACCCACGAAUGCAACCACCACCAUUGCACUAUAGUUUUCACGUCUAAUAGACGUGAAGAGGGGGAUUUGUUAUAUAAAUAUUCAUACACAUAACUCAUAUAGUAUACAGCGCUAAGCUAAACCGCCUGACUCAAGUCAUCUUACGUACCCUUGCUAAAGCAGGAACUAGCUCACACAGCCAGCAAUAAAACUACCCCCCUAAAACCAUCCCCUCAGCUUGGUUGUCUCCCGACCCCAGGAAACAAAGACAUUCCAUUGCAUGAACACAUGCACCCAGCCAUAAAAACUGCCCCUCUACCUCACGAACCCCUGACACAAACAUCUCCUAGUAUAAACACAUCUCCCCCCUCUACUGGUCGGGGGCUCAGAGAACAAGACUCUGUUCUGUACCAAUGGGGCUCAUGCUCUGGAUUAGAGCAGGUCCGCCUCCAACUUUUUGGGACCAAUCAGAAGACAAAAACGACAAGACUCUACCUACUUUAUUCUAUGUAUAAAAAUGAAUGUAACCUUUGUAUAAGGCCUCUUUUUCACCUGACUCCUUGCCGAGUUAUAUGAACUAGAUCCGUGCACGUAUAACUGCGGGACAAGAUAUCUUUGACUCAUUAAAACUGCCUUUUGUUACAACUGAAA